GCAGCCGCCGCGGUAAUACAGAGGGUGCGAGCGUUAAUCGGAUUUACUGGGCGUAAAGCGUGCGUAGGCGGCUUUUUAAGUCGGAUGUGAAAUCCCUGAGCUUAACUUAGGAAUUGCAUUCGAUACUGGGAAGCUAGAGUAUGGGAGAGGAUGGUAGAAUUCCAGGUGUAGCGGUGAAAUGCGUAGAGAUCUGGAGGAAUACCGAUGGCGAAGGCAGCCAUCUGGCCUAAUACUGACGCUGAGGUACGAAAGCAUGGGAAGCAAACAGGAUUAGAGACCCCGGUAGUCCCUGUCUCUUAUAC
rnacentral:rRNA from 1 species